UACGAAGGGGACUAGCGUUGUUCGGAAUUACUGGGCGUAAAGCGCACGUAGGCGGCUUUCUAAGUCAGGGGUGAAAUCCUGGAGCUCAACUCCAGAACUGCCUUUGAUACUGGAGAGCUUGAGUCCGGGAGAGGUGAGUGGAACUCCGAGUGUAGAGGUGAAAUUCGUAGAUAUUCGGAAGAACACCAGUGGCGAAGGCGGCUCACUGGCCCGGUACUGACGCUGAUGUGCGAAAGCGUGGGGAGCAAACAGG
rnacentral:rRNA from 1 species